rnacentral:rRNA from 1 species
CUAUACUGCAAGUCGAGCGGAUUGAUGGGAGCUUGCUCCCAUCAGUCAGCGGCGGACGGGUGAGUAACACGUGGGUAACCUGCCUGUAAGACUGGGAUAACUCCGGGAAACCGGGGCUAAUACCGGAUAACUCAUUUCCUCGCAUGAGGAAAUGUUGAAAGGUGGCUUUUAGCUAUCACUUACAGAUGGACCCGCGGCGCAUUAGCUAGUUGGUGAGGUAACGGCUCACCAAGGCGACGAUGCGUAGCCGACCUGAGAGGGUGAUCGGCCACACUGGGACUGAGACACGGCCCAGACUCCUACGGGAGGCAGCAGUAGGGAAUCUUCCGCAAUGGACGAAAGUCUGACGGAGCAACGCCGCGUGAGUGAUGAAGGUUUUCGGAUCGUAAAACUCUGUUGUUAGGGAAGAACAAGUACCGUUCGAAUAGGGCGGUACCUUGACGGUACCUAACCAGAAAGCCACGGCUAACUACGUGCCAGCAGCCGCGGUAAUACGUAGGUGGCAAGCGUUGUCCGGAAUUAUUGGGCGUAAAGCGCGCGCAGGUGGUUUCUUAAGUCUGAUGUGAAAGCCCACGGCUCAACCGUGGAGGGUCAUUGGAAA